rnacentral:rRNA from 1 species
GACGAAGGAUGCAAGCGUUAUCCGGAUUCAUUGGGUUUAAAGGGAGCGUAGGCGGCCUUGUAAGUCAGUGGUGAAAUCUCUGGGCUUAACCCAGAAAUUGCCAUUGAUACUGCAGGGCUUGAGUACAGUUGCCGUUGGCGGAAUAUGACAUGUAGUGGUGAAAUACAUAGAGAUGUCAUAGAACACCGAUUGCGAAGGCAGCUAACGAAACUGUAACUGACGCUGAGGCUCGAAAAGUGUGGGGAUCAAAACAGG